GAUGAACGCUAGCGGCAGGCUUAACACAUGCAAGUCGAGGGGCAGCAUAUGAGUAGCAAUACUUAUGAUGGCGACCGGCGCACGGGUGCGUAACGCGUAUGCAACCUACCUUUUACAGGGGCAUAACACUGAGAAAUUGGUACUAAUACCCCAUAAUAUCUCGGAAGGCAUCUUCUGGGGUUGAAAACUCUGGUGGUUACGGAUGGGCAUGCGUUGUAUUAGCUAGUUGGUAAGGUAACGGCUUACCAAGGCGACGAUACAUAGGGGGACUGAGAGGUUAACCCCCCACAUUGGUACUGAGACACGGACCAA
rnacentral:rRNA from 1 species